rnacentral:miRNA from 1 species
GGAUGAGAUGAAGGAUGAUGAUGAUGAUGAUGAUGAUGAUGAUUUUAUUUUCCUACAUCAACGUCAUAUCAUCGCCAUCAUCAUUUUCU